GUAGUCUCGCACAGAUGCAUAUCAAUAAGCGGAGGAAAAGAAACUAACAAGGAUUCCCUUAGUAACGGCGAGUGAGGCGGGAAGAGCUCAAAUUUGAAAUCUUCAAGGUUUUACCUUGACGAAUUGUAGUUUAAAGAAGUGUUUUCUGUUGAAGUUUUGGUAAAAGUUCUUUGGAAUAGGACAUCAUAGAGGGUGAGAAUCCCGUAUUUGACCUUUACUUUCAACUUUGUGAUACACUUUCAAAGAGUCGGAUUGUUUGGGAAUGCAGUCCAAAAUGGGUGGUAAAUUUCAUCUAAAGCUAAAUAUUGGCGAGAGACCGAUAGCGAACAAGUACCGUGAGGGAAAGAUGAAAAGAACUUUGAAAAGAGAGUUAAACAGUACGUGAAAUUGUCAAAAGGGAAGCGUUUGACACCAGUGUUGUUUUUCUGAAAAUCAAUUAAAGAACUGUUUAUGCUAAGCUGUUUAGACUUUAUCAGCUAACUGUUAGUUUUGAGCUUUUCUUUAAUGCACUUUUCAGUUAACAAGUCAACAUCAAUUUCUUUUGCUGUAAAAAAGCUUGAGGAAGGUGGCUUGAGAUUCGUCUUAAGUGUUUAUAGCCUCUUGCCUAUGCAGUCGGAGAGAUUGAGGUCUGCAGCGUAGAUCCUUCGGGGCUAAAUGCAUUUGUGCUAAGUUAUAGCAUUUUAUAGACAACUUGUUGACUAUGAUUUGUCUUGUAGCUUACUCGCUUAUGUUAUUUUACCUACGCUUAGGAUGUUGAUGUGAUACUGCGAGC
rnacentral:rRNA from 1 species